rnacentral:rRNA from 1 species
UACGGGGGGGGGCAAGCGUUGUUCGGAAUUACUGGGCGUAAAGGGCUCGUAGGCGGCCAACUAAGUCAGACGUGAAAUCCCUCGGCUUAACCGGGGAACUGCGUCUGAUACUGGAUGGCUUGAGUUUGGGAGAGGGAUGCGGAAUUCCAGGUGUAGCGGUGAAAUGCGUAGAUAUCUGGAGGAACACCGGUGGCGAAGGCGGCCAUCCUGGACCAACACUGACGCUGAGGAGCGAAAGCCAGGGGAGCAAACGGG